AUAUCGGUGGUCUCUUGUCCGCCAUCAAAACCAACGAAGAAUAAAUCAGUAAACCAACAGAAGAAGAAGAAAACCUGCACAGUCGCUCGUCUUUUCUCCAACAAAGAAGAUGGACACGCGCUUCACUCGGGGGAAGUCCAACAUCCUGGAGCGCCCUCUGACGCGUCCGAAGACGGAGGUGAGCGUGAGCGCCUUCGCGUUGCUGUUCUCAGAGAUGGUGCAGUACUGCCAGAGCCGUGUGUACUCGGUGACGGAGCUGCAGACCCGCCUGGCCGACAUGGGGCAGAGCGUCGGAGCCAGCAUGCUGGAUGUGCUGGUGCUGAGGGAGAAGAACGGGAAGAGGGAGACCAAAGUGCUCAACAUGCUGCUCUUCAUCAAGGUGAACGUCUGGAAGUCUCUGUUUGGGAAGGAGGCGGACAAACUGGAGCAGGCCAACGACGACGACAAGACGUACUACAUCAUCGAGAAGGAGCCGCUCAUCAACGCCUACAUCUCCGUGCCCAAAGAGAACAGCAGCUUGAACUGCGCCGCCUUCACCGCCGGCAUCGUGGAGGCCGUGCUCACACACAGCGGAUUCCCCGCCAAGGUCACGGCUCACUGGCACAAGGGCACCACGCUCAUGAUCAAGUUCAACGACUCUGUCAUCACCAGGGACAAGGCUCUGGACGGCAGAUAGAGGACUGGGGAGGGUCUAGUGUUUGUUGUGGUAACUUAUGAGAGUGUAUGGAUGAUAGCAGCAUACUGAGCCACGUGGUCUAGAGCACAGAACAUGCAGCGCCGCGGUUCAACCCGCCGUGUUCUUGUGGAUCAUCUCAGUCCUGUUACUCCUUAUUAAGUGACACAGGAUAGUUUCUUCUGAAAAUCAUUUUAUUUGCAGUUUCACGUCACAUUUGUUCAUUCAUAAAAACAUGAAUACUUUGGAUACUUUUAUCCAGGCCUGGGCGAUAUGAAGGAAGUCAAUCAUCACAAUAUUUCUGAUCAAAUACCUUUAUUGAUAUUGACACGAUAUCAGGGUUGAGUCUAGUGUGUCAAGAUGUAAAGACAAAAUAUGGAAAACACAAUAACAAAUAGAAAAGGACAUCACUUCAUACUUUUGUAAUCGAUAUCCAAAUUGAAGACACGAUCUAGUCUCAUUAGACGUUAAUAUAUUAUUGAUAUAUUGACCAGCCCUACUUUCACCACAUCAGAUUAUUGUUUUCUUUAGUUAUUCUCAAUUUGUUAAACCCAACAUGUCAAUUUAUUUGAAUUGAAAAAUGUCACCUUGGGCUCUUUGAAACAAUGUGUACACUUUUUAUAGACAAUGAAUCGAACAAAUGAUCAACAGAUGAUUUGAUAAUGAAAGUGAUUUGCCUCAAAGUGAAACUGAACAAGAACGUCCCCCUAAAUGUCAAACUAAUUAAAGCAUCCCUGGUUUGUGUAUUGUUAAUUCAUGUUACUAUCUUUAUUGCUGCAAAGUAUUUCAUGUAACAGACAAAGGUCCAGACUCCAGAUAUUUCUUUCAGUCUCAUUCCAGUUUGACUCCAGCUGCAUGUUUCAUCUCUGUCAAAUAGAUUCAUAAUUAGGGCUGUAGAUAUUAUUGACGACACUGAGGUCUUAUACCAACCAUCUUUGUUUUAUCAUUAUUUCAUGUAAUGUGUGUGUGUGUAUGUCUGUGUGUUACUUUGGAGGUAAUAGUAACAGAGAAAACAAUGUAAACACAAUGUACAUCUUCUGCAUUUUGACAACUUGUAUUGCUUAAAAGAAUAUUAAAUAAGUAAUGUACAGAAGGUUCAGCAUUUCUCCCCCCUUUAUUUUACUUCUGGCAGCAUUAAACAUAAUUAGCACUGUUUUGACCUACAUGUUGAGUUAUUUACAGAGAACAGAAUUGAAUACAAAUUGAAAAGUCCGAGUGAUUAUUAUUAAAAAUACACCCGUUUUUGGUUAAUAAUGGUUAAUAAUGUUAACUACUGACCAAGUGUUAAAUACAUAUUAAAAUGUAAAUGCAAUGUG